rnacentral:lncRNA from 1 species
CGGACUUAGCCAACGACACGUGCCUUUGGGAGCCGAAGCUCCUACUGAGGGUCGGCAAUCGGGCGGCGGGCGCAUGCGUCGCUUCUAGCCCGGAUUCUGACUUAGAGGCGUUCAGUCAUAAUCCAGCGCACGGUAGCUUCGCACCACUGGCUUUUCAACCAAGCGCGAUGACCAAUUGUGCGAAUCAACGGUUCCUCUCGUACUAGGUUGAAUUACUAUUGCGACUGUCACGCCCCCAAUCCUGGAAAGGAUUGUCGGGACGGCCAUGGUUCGAGGAAACGUACUAGCCAGUCUUAGGACAUCAAGGCAAGCGUUCCAUGGUCAAGAAAGAAGGUUAAGGACAUAAGGAAACUUAGACUUAACCUUAUAAGAGCAAAGAGACGGCUAAGACGAGUAAGACGGUAACGGGACGAGAUAGAGAAGUAGCUCGACCAGCUUAACGAAGCUAGGUUGAGUUCACUCCAGCUCAGCCACUACUAAGUCAGCUCCACUGGCUGGACUACUAGCUCACUCAGCUGAGGCAGCUGGGAGUCAGCUCAUCUCAGCUAGAUGGACUGUUCGUGUUUUAGGCCGAUGGUCCGGGUCAGUGGCGGGCUGUGAGGUCCGGCCAUGAGGCCAUGGGCUGUUGGGUUCUUGGACAAGGCCGUGGGCUAAGUCCAGGAGGCUUGGGGCGUGGGUUGGGCUUAUGACCGACCCCAAACCCAAUCAGAAAGGGCGAAGGGAUGCAAGUGGCCGAGAGGGCACAACCCUUGGCCGAUGGUGCCCAUUCGCUAGCAAGUCGUGCCUGUUCGUGGGACAAGACUUACCCCCUCGUUUUCUAUAAAUAUGGGGGCUCUCCUGUCGAUUUCAUUAUCCAUUUCCAGAGUAAAAUACUCAGAGAAAAACGUAGAGAGAGAGAGAGAGAGUCCCGGCCAAGAGAUCGGCCGGAAAAGGGCCGGUCGUGGUGGUUUAGUAUCUCCGGCAAGGAGAACGGUUUAGGAGAGAGGAGGCCGUGUGGUUAUGAAUACCCAAGGCAUAGAGAAAGGUCUGGAGAAGGACUCCAAAGCCGUGGUUCAGUCAGAUAGGGUCAGUGGGGUAACCACCGACUCAUCGGCUAAGACCAUCGGACAGUCUGAACCGGUCUAGCCAUGGGCGUUUGGAUUGUAUCCUAUUCUUCUUAUUCUUUUCAUCUAGUUCUUCUUCUACUCCUUCUGUACAUUGGCGUGGCCUUGUUGAUGUGUUGGGAUUGGUUAUAAGUUAUAACCGUGGUUCUGGUUGAGUAAUGCGGUCGCGGUCCAUAACCGUCGAGUUAGGCGCGCGCAUGGUCUAAACCGGCCUCAGGUGAUCCGAUUGGAUAGGGGCGGUUCUGUUCUGUUCUGAACGGGGGCAACCCUUCCCUGAACAGUCACAAUGGUUCAUGACUUGUGUAGGAUAAGGCGUGGUCCUUUGGCCAUAGGCCGGACACACGCACGGACCAGACAGUCCAUACGGACGGUUAGGUCGAACGGUUGGAACAUCUGAAUGGGUGCGAGUUGCCAAGGGUCAUGACUUACCAAGAGGCACGUGUGUCCAAAGGGUACUAGUUCCCAAAGGGUGUGAGUUCCAAACGGUGCCAUUGGUUCAAGGCUUAGGCCGAACCAAGUGGACAGUCCGCGGCUGCAUAGUCGAACGGACGGACGGUUAGUUUAACCGGAGUGUUGUGUCGCAAGGUCUGAUUGGUUGCAAGGCAAUCCGGUUUGGUCUUGGGCCUUACUCUGUGGUAUGGAUCCAGGCUUUGGGUCGGAUCAGGUAAGAAGGUCCGUGAGCCUUUGGGCCGGACUUAUAAUUGGCCGAUCGCACCUAGAUCUUAAUCAGACGGUUAGACGGGACUAUGGACAAUCCGGCUAAGGUUGGAUGGUUCUAGCCGCAAAGGCUAAGUAGGAUAUCUUACAAUCAACCUCGGGUUGGUGAGUAGGAUAGGCGCCAUAUGCCUUAUGUAGGGCGUAGACCCACAUAAUGGCAAUGGAAGGCCGGUCAUAUCAGUGCAUGCUAAGUGGACGAUGGCUUAUCAAGUCUAGUGGUCGGAUCAUGUUUCAUGACGAUGGUUCGAUGGCCGAACACUAGUAUGGAUAAUCAUGAUGCUUCUAGAUAUCAACCUUGGUGUUGAUAACUUCGAGAUUGGCUAAGAGUCAUGACGAAGAGUAUGGCUAGUACUAUGUGUCGUAGACCAUAAGUAUUGAGCUUAGGUGUGAUUGUUCAAGGAAGGCCGUGUAAGAUCUGAUCAUGGUUGAGUAUGGACGACCUGACCUCUGAAUGAUGGCUCAAGGUGUCGGUCCUAACCUGAUUAAUGAAUGCAUCGGUUGGUAUGAACAAAUCAUAUCUGUUGUCUGGGUUAAGUCCCAAGGCCGGUCAGGCCAGAUGAUGACUCAUCAGUUCCAAGUCAUGUGAGGAUGGUUGGUUGAUUGACUUAGGAUCUCAUGAGCUUUUUCAGUCCAGAAGAUGGACUUGGUACAAUUGCCUAUAAGGCAAAAAGGAUUUUGGA